GACGAACGCUGGCGGCGUGCUUAACACAUGCAAGUCGAACGAAGUGGCGAACGGGUGAGUAAUACGUGGGUAAACUGCCCUCCUUUUUGGGAUAAGCCUUGGAAACGGGGUCUAAUACCGAAUAAAGGGGUAGGGGCUCGCGGACUAUCAGCUUGUUGGGGGGGUGAUGGCCUACCAAGGCGGUGAGGGGUAGCCGGCCGGAGAGGGUGACCGGCAACAUUGGGAGUGAGAUAGGGCACAGACUCCUACGGGGGGCAGCAGUGGGAGAUAUUGCACAAUGGGCGAAAGCCUGAUGCAGAGACGCCGCGUGGGGGAUGAAGUCUUGCGGGUUAUAAACCUCUUUCGCUAUCGCAAGGGUAGGUGGAGAAGAAGCGCCGGCUAACUACGUGCCAGCAGCCGCGGUAAUUC
rnacentral:rRNA from 1 species